GACGAACGCUAGCGGCAGGCCUAAUACAUGCAAGUCGAACGGUGUCUUCGGACAUAGUGGCGCACGGGUGCGUAACACGUAUGCAACCUACCUUACAUUGGGGGAUAGCCUUUCGAAAGGGAGAUUAAUACCGCAUAAGACAGUAGCUGGGCAUCCAGCAGCUGUUAAAGAUUUAUCGAUGUAAGCUGGGCAUGCGUCCAAUUAGCUAGUUGGUGAGGUAACGGCUAACCAAGGCAAUGAUUGGUAGGGGAACUGAGAGGUCAAUCCCCCACACUGGCACUGAGAUACGGGCCAGACUCCUACGGGAGGCAGCAGUAGGGAAUAUUGGGCAAUGGACGCAAGUCUGACCCAGCCAUGCCGCGCGCAGGAUGAAGGCGUUAUGCGUUGUAAACUGCUUUUAUACAGGAAGAAACGACUCUUGCGAGAGGCAUUGACGGUACUGUAUGAAUAAGCACCGGCUAACUCCGUGCCAGCCGCCGCCGUAAAAC
rnacentral:rRNA from 1 species